ensembl:snoRNA
UGCCUUAAAGUGUUGCCUGUUCAUCACUUUUCAGAUGAAUGUGGUGUCAGCUAGGGCAAAUAUUAACACAUGAGGUGGCUGUUAAGAAGGGUUUACAUCUGUGCCUUUCAAUAGUUUCAUCUUAUGGACAUCA